ACUAGCAGUAAGAGUUUGAUCAUGGCUCAGAACGAACGCUGGCGGCAUGCCUAACACAUGCAAGUCGAACGAGACCUUCGGGUCUAGUGGCGCACGGGUGCGUAACGCGUGGGAAUCUGCCCUUGGGUUCGGAAUAACAGUGAGAAAUUGCUGCUAAUACCGGAUGAAGUCUUCGGACCAAAGAUUUAUCGCCCAGGGAUGAGCCCGCGUAGGAUUAGGUAGUUGGUGGGGUAAUGGCCUACCAAGCCGACGAUCCUUAGCUGGUCUGAGAGGAUGAUCAGCCACACUGGGACUGAGACACGGCCCAGACUCCUACGGGAGGCAGCAGUGGGGAAUAUUGGACAAUGGGGGAAACCCUGAUCCAGCAAUGCCGCGUGAGUGAUGAAGGCCUUAGGGUUGUAAAGCUCUUUUACCAGGGAUGAUAAUGACAGUACCUGGAGAAUAAGCUCCGGCUAACUCCGUGCCAGCAGCCGCGGUAAUAC
rnacentral:rRNA from 1 species